AGGUGGCUGGACAGCUUGGUG
rnacentral:miRNA from 14 species